rnacentral:lncRNA from 1 species
UGCGAGUCUGCGGUCGCGCCUGCUUCGACGUCGGCGCCGGUUUGACAAUCCGUGUCUGUGAAUUCCUCUAGGAUGAGGCCUUUCUCUCCUUUUUCGAUUUGGCUUUGUUGUACUCCAAAAGCGUACUAUAUGCUAGUACUUCAUCAAACUGAUUUGUACCAACGUGUUUGCUUCAUGAAAAAAGCGUUGUCGGCUGGUUCUAAGCUGCUGAUGUAUCAGACUUUGUACUUUGGAAUUUUCCGUUCGCAUACGGAUUUUGCCAUGAUGAUAAUCACCUUCAAUCUGAUUGUUAAAGUUGAGGUGCUCCUGUUGCAGUGUACGGAAUGGUCGCGUCGGGACAACCCUUCCAUAACAAUCUUCUGAGCACGUAUUUUUGUAUGCCACUGCUGAAACUUUUUCGUCUUGACUGAUGAGGAGUUGAUGUGGAUUCCUGUGUGAUGAUUCUUCUUCAUCUCAACAAUCAAGAGUUUCUUGGUCCCUGAAGAAUUUCCUCCAAGAACAACAAUGCCGUGUGUGGCCGUACGGUGGGCAUAAACUGUCGUGAUUUUGUCACUUUAAGAUGUCCUUGUGAGAGGACUUAGGUGUGAGGCCAUCGUAACUAGGUGGGAGCUUGAGAGGGGUUGGUCGGAAUCGAGAGAUGCGGGUUUACCCAGGUUCGGCCCCUCCGAUGGAGGUAAAAACCUACGUCCUGCUUUGUAUGUGAUGAUCUCGGUUACAAGGGUGACGAAUCGCUACCUCUGGUCUCGAGGGUUUCUGAUG